rnacentral:snRNA from 1 species
GUGCUCGCUUUGGCAGCACGCAUACUAAAACUGGAAUGAUACAGAGAAGGUUAGCAUGGCCCCUGCGCAAGGGUGACACACAAAUUCAUAAAGUGUUCCGUAUUUUU